AGUGAACGCUGGCGGUAGGCCUAACACAUGCAAGUCGAACGGCAGCACAGUAAGAGCUUGCUCUUACGGGUGGCGAGUGGCGGAGGGUGAGGAAUACAUCGGAAUCUACUUUUUCGUGGGGGAUAACGUAGGGAAACUUACGCUAAUACCGCAUACGACCUACGGGUGAAAGCAGGGGAUCUUCGGACCUUGCGCGAUUGAAUGAGCCGAUGUCGGAUUAGCUAGUUGGCGGGGUAAAGGCCCACCAAGGCGACGAUCCGUAGCUGGUCUGAGAGGAUGAUCAGCCACACUGGAACUGAGACACGGUCCAGACUCCUACGGGAGGCAGCAGUGGGGAAUAUUGGACAAUGGGCGCAAGCCUGAUCCAGCCAUACCGCGUGGGUGAAGAAGGCCUUCGGGUUGUAAAGCCCUUUUGUUGGGAAAGAAAAGCAGCAGGUUAAUACCCCGCUGUUCUGACGGUACCCAAAGAAUAAGCACCGGCUAACUUCGUG
rnacentral:rRNA from 1 species